UACGUAGGGGGCUAGCGUUGUCCGGAUUUAUUGGGCGUAAAGAGCGUGUAGGCGGCCAGGUAGGUCUGCUGUGAAAACUCGAGGCUCAACCUCGAGACGUCGGCGGAAACCAUCUGGCUAGAGUUCGGAAGAGGAGAGUGGAAUUCCUGGUGUAGCGGUGAAAUGCGCAGAUAUCAGGAAGAACACCCGUGGCGAAGGCGGCUCUCUGGGACGGUACUGACGCUGAGACGCGAAAGCGUGGGGAGCGAACAGG
rnacentral:rRNA from 1 species